rnacentral:rRNA from 1 species
GCUCCUUUGACGUUAGCGGCGGAGGGAGAGUAACACGUGGGUAACCUACCUAUAAGACUGGAAUAACUCCGGGAAACCGGGGCUAAUGCCGGAUAACAUUUAGAACCGCAUGGUUCUAAAGUGAAAGAUGGUUUUGCUAUCACUUAUAGAUGGACCCGCGCCGUAUUAGCUAGUUGGUAAGGUAAUGGCUUACCAAGGCAACGAUACGUAGCCGACCUGAGAGGGUGAUCGGCCACACUGGAACUGAGACACGGUCCAGACUCCUACGGGAGGCAGCAGUAGGGAAUCUUCCGCAAUGGGCGAAAGCCUGACGGAGCAACGCCGCGUGAGUGAUGAAGGGUUUCGGCUCGUAAAACUCUGUUAUUAGGGAAGAACAAACUUUUAAGUAACUGUGCACGUCUUGACGGUACCUAAUCAGAAAGCCACGGCUAACUACGUGCCAGCAGCCGCGGUAAUACGUAGGUGGCAAGCGUUAUCCGGAAUUAUUGGGCGUAAAGCGCGCGUAGGCGGUUUCUUAAGUCUGAUGUGAAAGCCCACGGCUCAACCGUGGAGGGUCAUUGGAAACUGGGAGACUUGAGUGCAGAAGAGGAAAGUGGAAUUCCAUGUGUAGCGGUGAAAUGCGCAGAGAUAUGGAGGAACACCAGUGGCGAAGGCGACUUUCUGGUCUGUAACUGACGCUGAUGUGCGAAAGCGUGGGGAUCAAACAGGAUUAGAUACCCUGGUAGUCCACGCCGUAAACGAUGAGUGCUAAGUGUUAGGGGGUUUCCGCCCCUUAGUGCUGCAGCUAACGCAUUAAGCACUCCGCCUGGGG